rnacentral:rRNA from 1 species
UACGUAGGGUGCGAGCGUUGUCCGGAAUUAUUGGGCGUAAAGAGCUCGUAGGCGGUCUGUCGCGUCGGUCGUGAAAACUUGGGGCUUAACCCUGAGCUUGCGGUCGAUACGGGCAUGACUGGAGUUCGGUAGGGGAGACUGGAAUUCCUGGUGUAGCGGUGAAAUGCGCAGAUAUCAGGAGGAACACCGGUGGCGAAGGCGGGUCUCUGGGCCUUACCUGACGCUGAGGAGCGAAAGCGUGGGGAGCGAACAGG